GUCCAAAUGUUUUCCAAAUUAAAUUUUUUUUUGUGGGGGGUACCCAUGCUCCUCGAUCGUCAGGAAUCCAAAGAUCCAAAUUCGUGCUGCUUUCCUUACUGCAAUGAUGUUUCCAGUCCCAUCUUCUCAUAUUUGUCAUUUAUUCAUUUUCCUUUUCUGUCACCUCCGAGUUUUCUCCACAAGUGGAUUAAAAGGAACAGUCUUAUUUUGUCUCUGUGUGGGUUUUAUAAUGCUCUCUCAUAUGUCCACAAAUCCAACCAUCAUGUUUUUGAGCAGACACUCCGUCCUGUCAUUCCGGUGAAAUACAGUCUAAAUGUCCACUCGUUUACUUUCCAGACCCGCUGCCUCAUAAUUAGUCUUCCAGGAGGAUAACAGCCCUUUCUGAUUUACGAUUCCAGCCUGAUAUCCAAGCGGCUCUUCCUCCCUAGACCAUCCAUCUUGCAGCCGAGAUCUGCCUACGCAACGGAGCAUUUCUUACUGCGUCACUGAGAGAGACUCACUUGUUUCCAAAUCUUUCACAGACAUAUAAUUUUUUCCACAUAGUUCAUUUUCACUCCCACUUGUAAAUUAGUCGUUGAGACGGUUUUUUGAGGGGGAGGGUUAUCAGGUACUCACAUAAAAAUAAAAUAAAAAAGUCUUUCCCCUCUCCUCUCGUACCGUCCACAUACCAAAAUGUCGGCAGUUCUCUGGUGUUAUCUCUGUUCCUUCCGUCCUUCGUCCUUCCGUCUCGAUCUUCUUCACUCAGUGGUAAAUUUAUUAGCAGAUAAAAGCAUUCCUGAUUUCUCUUGAAGCAUGUGCGUUUAUUGGUCCAAUUCUUUUCUUCUUUUUAAACAUCGCAGCCAGGCUCGCUCCUGAAAGAAGCUGGCAGGGAGCUCCAAGCUUGCCCGAGGGCUUUCCACCUAGUGCCUCUCACCCCCUCCUUCAUCCGAACUCGGGGGUGAUUUAUGGCAACAGCAGG